GGCAAAAGCUCAAAUUUGAAAUCUAGUACCUUCGGUGCUCGAGUUGUAAUUUGGAGAUAGUUUUCUGGUGCUGGCCCUUGUCUAUGUUCCUUGGAACAGGACGUCAUAGAGGGUGAGAAUCCCGUCUGAUGGGGUGUCCAGUGCUUUGUAGAUUUCUAUCGAAGAGUCGAGUUGUUUGGGAAUGCAGCUCUAAGUGGGUGGUAAAUUCCAUCUAAAGCUAAAUAUUGGCGAGAGACCGAUAGCGAACAAGUACAGUGAUGGAAAGAUGAAAAGAACUUUGAAAAGAGAGUGAAAAAGUACGUGAAAUUGUUGAAAGGGAAGGAUAUUGGAUCAGACUUGGUGUUUUGUGAUUAUCUUCCCUUCUUGGGUUGUGCACUCGCAUUUCACUGGGCCAGCAUCGAUUCGGAUGGCAAGAUAAUGGCUUGGGAACGUGGCUCUCUUCGGGGAGUGUUAUAGCCCUUGUUGAUGUUGCCUAUCUGGAUCGAGGACUGCGGC
rnacentral:rRNA from 1 species